rnacentral:rRNA from 1 species
GGGAAAAUAAAUAUUAUUGGGUUACAGUUAAAUUAUAUUUUAAAUUACAUAUAAAAUUUUUAGGUGAAAUUUUAAUUUUAUUUUAAUUUUAGUUGUUUGAGGCUGUGAAAUUUAUUUUAAAGACAAGGAUUAGAUACCCUUUUAUAUUAAAUGUAAAUGUUAACCUGGGUAGUAAUAGUUAUGUUCUUGAAACCCAAAGAAUUUGGCGGUAUUUUAUUCCUUUUAGAGGAACCUGUCCUUUAAUUGAUAGUCCACGAUAGGGAGUUACUUAUUCUUGUAUUCAUUUUGUAUACCUCCGUCAUCAGAGUAUCUUUUUAGGGUUAAUAUUCUAAUUAUUGUAAAUAUAAAAUGUCAGGUCAAGGUGCAAUUUAUGGGUAAGUAGAGAUGGGUUACAAUAAAUUUAUUUAUAUGAAUUAAUUAUUUUUAUAAAAUAUUAUGAAAGUGGAUUUAAAAGUAAAAUUAUUCCUUUACUAGUUUGAUUUUGGUUCUAAAAUAUGCACACAUCGCCCGUCGCUCUUAUUAUAAGAUAAGAUAAGUCGUAACAUAGUAGGUGUACCGGAAGGUGUACCUAGAAAGAUACACAAAUUAGAACUUGAUAGAAAGUAUUUCAUUUACACUGA